CUUCAAUUGUGAAGCUGUGUCUCUCACGCGCACAAAACCUGCUUCACGUAUGUUCACUCCUCUCAAACUCCUGAAAUUUCUCCUUUCUAAAUCUGUUAUUCCUCACACACUCCUGAAAUCCGCUCCCAAUAGAUACUAUGGAUUUAAAAUUGAAUUUCAAUUUCAAAUUUGCAAAUCCAGCGCCUUGUGAAAAAUUUUGGGGGGCGAAAUUUACGGGUUUCAAAUAGAUCUGCUUAGGGUUACCGCUGGCGAAAUCAUCUCAUAGGACUGGAGGCAAUUUUUGUUGCAGAUUCAUCAACAGAUUUGAAAAAUUGGAAGGGAGGCCCUUUUCAAUAUCAGUUUCUCUUUUGUGGUUCACUUGUGCGAUGGUCAAGAAUUAAGGUUUGUUUUAUAAAAAAGAGGAAGGACAGAGGCGAUGGACUUCACACAACGUUUUAUUUGCUUAUAUGACCUGAAGAAGCUUGAUGCUUUCUAAAAAAAAUAUGACCUGAAUAUCAAUGUUUUGGAUGUGGUAUUAUUGAUGCAUGUUUUUACACGGAUAUUGUGUUUAAAAUUGAUGUUUUUUGACCCUAAAAAAAUCUCUGCAAUGGUUCAUUCUUUUUAAAGUUCAAAAUGAGUAGUUUUUAGGCUGAGCACCAAUGUUACUUUUGUGUGGUGUCAAUGAGCACCACUGUUACUUUCGUGUGGUCAUUCAAUUAGAGUUCAAUGUUACUUUUGUGUGGUUCUUUCUUCAGUGUUUAGAUUUUCAUUUGCUUGGCCAAAUUUAUUUGACAAAGCAACUUCUUUUUUGCAGACUUACAAAUCUUGUCCAACACAAGUAAGUUAAUUUUAUUUAGGUGCUUAGGAUUCAUUCACCUCUUGCUUAUCAUUCCCCUUUACAAAAAUUUCUUCUAUAAUUCUUUCUUCUUUAUAAGCAAAGCAAUUCUUUCCCAUAUUUAUGCACGUAUAUAUCAUCCAAAUUGGCUAUUGGCUACUGAUAUUAUCAUAAUAACUGGUGAAAUCCACUGUGAACUUAACAAAGUAUGUACUUUUUUUAGAAUUUUUGUUUUAUUCUCUUCUUUAUAAGCAAAGCAAUUCUUUCUCAUAUUUAUUCUCUUCUUUAUAAGCAAAGCAGGUCUUUUUUUUACUUCCUUGCCAAAAUCAUCUUUAUAACUGGUUUUUCUUUUUAUUGGUUCUCAUCAAUUCGUAAUCUUUGUGGAUCAAAAAGUCAGCUGCAAUUGUUCAAAAGGAAGCAGAUGAGGUUUAAGAUCAUGAAUUAGUUUUUAUAUUAUUGUUUUGUUACGAUUUAUUAAGUUUAAACUUCAUAAACUUUAUGGUUUGAGUGUAUUGUGUGUUCUACCUUUUUAAUGGACAUAAUGUGAUGGUCCUUUGUCCAUUGUGUGUAACAAUGAGUGUUGCUAAAAUUGUGUGUCACAGUAGCAAUAAUUCAGCAUGCUGAAUUUUUUUUGUUUUACACAGAUUUUUAAGACUUUUCAUUGUUGUCUAUAUCAUGGCCCCUCAUUAGAGUCUUAGAUUAUCUCUUUUCUAACGAGUCUGGUUGAGAUCCUUAUUUUAAAAGCAUGUUAUUUUUGGCUUAUGAAGGGUACACAUGAUGAUUUAUCAUGCUACAAAUUUUAUAACUUCAAAACACAAAUGGGUUGUUCAACUUUAUGUAGGCUGAUGAGUUGUCGGGUAUGCCUCGUGUUGCAUUGGAUAAUUUUGUUGGAAAAACUUUCAUAUUCAAGAUAAAAAUUGAUGAUAGUAAGAAUGGAAAAUAUGCAAAGAGUUCUUUUGUGUACACAAUGACUGAUGCUUCUGAUAUGAUCAAACUUUUUACCUCAAAUGAUGACACAGUACAGGUACGUUUUAGUCCUUUCAUGUUAUUCUUUUUCUAAAUGUCCUUAAAUGUUAUUGUUUUUUUAAUUUUGAACAUGUAAACUCAAUUCCAUUAAAACUAAAAUACACCAAAUGAAAAACCGAAAAAUUUAGAACUCAGCCUUACUUCAAAAGGUCAAUGUCAGUGGUCACUGUAUAAAGACUAACAUCUAAAUAGAAAUUGACUUCAGUCAACCCAAAUAUUAUCUUAAAUGUUAUUAUUGAUGGUAACUAUCAUUUUAUAGCCUUCUACUCCUUACAUGUGGUUUUCUUUUUUAGGAUUCGUUGCAAAUUGGUAGUAUUGAUGCAAAUAGUGAGCUAUCUAUUCAAAAGCAUCAAUCUGAUGCUACUGGUGACAUUUCUAUUACAAGUGAAAAUGAACUUUGAAUCAUAUUCUCAGCAGAAUGUUACUCCUAUGAAAAGAAUGUCACAUCAAAAUCUUGUGUAUUCUGACAUAGCGGAAAACUCUCCAGCACAAGCUUCCUCAACUAAGGAGUUAAAACGUGUUAAGAUAGAGAAGUGAAAUAAGAAUUUGAUUACAUUGAGACUUCUGCUACGUUAGUAUAUGUUGCAAGUUUUUCUAUUUAUGGUGUUUUAAAGAGUUAAUUACAUUGUUUGGUUUUGUAUUAAGUAAACUCGGAUGAUCAAUUUUAAUAUUAUUCAUGUAUCUAUUUUGA